UAGUUCCAAGCAGAACACUCCCAGUGUUCUUUGCAGUCUGUUGUGGACUAGGAUGGUCCUGGCAAUCUGAGGCUGAUCUGGUGCUAUGGAGGAUCAAUUUACUACUAUGAAGUUCAAUUUUAUACAAGACCUGGAGUAGCUGACCUUGCUUUACCUCAUGGCAGGAAGAUGAGUGGCUCCAAAAUGGAAUGACCCUGUGGAGGAAGAAGUUCACAUUUGACUACAAGUUUUAUCAAAGAGACAUUAAACAAUUAUGGGAUCUGAGAUGCACAUCAUCUUUUUGAGAGUUGAUAUUCUGAGGGUUGACUAUCAAUAAUUUCUAAAAUUUUCUGUCUUCUUUUCAUUUUGCCAGGUGUACAAAAUGCAUCUUCAAAGAGUGAAUAUGUACAAGGGGAAGAUAAGUCAAUAUUCUCCUUCUUUUCUAUUUGUAAUUGGGGGAGAUUCAAAUUUUUCAUUUUUCCAUUCGUAUGUAACCCAAAGAUGUCUCCCUACAGGCCAUUGGCAUUCUGGUUUUUAUCUCUGGAUCAGGGAAAACCAAGAUCACUUUAAUGAUCAAUUUAAAUAAAGAAUUAAUUUUUUAAACUUGA